rnacentral:rRNA from 1 species
AGGACGAACGCUGGCGGCGUGCCUAACACAUGCAAGUCGAGCGGGACAUACGACGGAGUCAAAGUUUCGGAUGGAGACGAAGAUGUAUGUUCUAGCGGCGGACGGGUGAGUAACGCGUGAGCAACCUGUCCCUUACAGGGGGAUAACACAGCGAAAGUUGUACUAAUACCGCAUGAGACCACGGGUAGACAUCUACCAGGGGUCAAAGGAGCAAUCCGGUAAGGGGUGGGCUCGCGUCCGAUUAGAUAGUUGGUGAGGUAACGGCCCACCAAGUCGACGAUCGGUAGCCGACCUGAGAGGGUGAUCGGCCACAUUGGGACUGAGACACGGCCCAAACUCCUACGGGAGGCAGCAGUGGGGAAUAUUGGGCAAUGGGGGGAAACCCUGACCCAGCAACGCCGCGUGAGGGAAGAAGGUUUUCGGAUCGUAAACCUCUGUCCUUGGUGAAGAGGAAGAGACGGUAGCCAAGGAGGAAGCCCCGGCUAACUACGUGCCAGCAGCCGC